UACGUAGGUGGCAAGCGUUGUCCGGAUUUACUGGGCGUAAAGAGCGCGCAGGCGGUUGAUUAAGUCGAAUGUGAAAGCCCCCGGCUCAACUGGGGAGGGUCAUUCGAUACUGAUCAACUUGAAGGCAGGAGAGGGAAGUGGAAUUCCGGGUGUAGUGGUGAAAUGCGUAGAUAUCCGGAGGAACACCAGUGGCGAAGGCGACUUCCUGGCCUGUUCUUGACGCUGAGGCGCGAAAGCGUGGGGAGCGAACGAGG
rnacentral:rRNA from 1 species